CCUACGGGAGGCAGCAGUGGGGAAUAUUGGACAAUGGGGGAAACCCUGAUCCAGCGACGCCGCGUGAGUGAAGAAGUAUUUCGGUACGUAAAGCUCUAUCAGCAGGAAAGAAAAUGACGGUACCUGACUAAGAAGCCCCGGCUAACUACGUGCCAGCAGCCGCGGUAAUACGUAGGGGGCAAGCGUUAUCCGGAUUUACUGGGUGGAAGGGGAGCGUAGACGGCAGGGCAAGUCUGGAGUGAAAUGCGGGGGCCCAACCCCGGAACUGCUCUGGAAACUGUGAAGCUGGAGUGCAGGAGAGGUAAGCGGAAUUCCUGGUGUAGCGGUGAAAUGCGUAGAUAUCAGGAGGAACACCGGCGGCGAAGGCGGCUUACUGGACUGUAACUGACGUUGAGGCUCGAAGGCGUGGGGAGCAAACAGGAUUAGAUACCCCUGUAGUC
rnacentral:rRNA from 1 species